rnacentral:rRNA from 1 species
CGUGCCGCUGCCUUACACAUGCAAGUCGAACGGAAUCUUCGGAUUUAGUGCGCGGACGGGUGAGUAACGCGUGAGAAUCUAGCUCUAGGUCGGGGACAACCACUGGAAACGGUGGCUAAUACCGGAUGUGCCGAAAGGUGAAAGAUUUAUUGCCUAGAGAUGAGCUCGCGUCUGAUUAGCUAGUUGGUGUGGUAAGAGCGCACCAAGGCGACGAUCAGUAGCUGGUCUGAGAGGAUGAUCAGCCACACUGGGACUGAGACACGGCCCAGACUCCUACGGGAGGCAGCAGUGGGGAAUUUUCCGCAAUGGGCGAAAGCCUGACGGAGCAAUACCGCGUGAGGGAGGAAGGCUCUUGGGUUGUAAACCUCUUUUCUCAGGGAAUAAGAAAGUGAAGGUACCUGAGGAAUAAGCAUCGGCUAACUCCGUGCCAGCAGCCGCGGUAAUACGGAGGAUGCAAGCGUUAUCCGGAAUGAUUGGGCGUAAAGCGUCCGCAGGUGGCACUGUAAGUCUGCUGUUAAAGAGCAAGGCUCAACCUUGUAAAGGCAGUGGAAACUACAGAGCUAGAGUACGUUCGGGGCAGAGGGAAUUCCUGGUGUAGCGGUGAAAUGCGUAGAAAUA